rnacentral:rRNA from 1 species
CACGUAGGGCGCAAGCGUUGUCCGGAAUUAUUGGGCGUAAAGAGCUCGUAGGCGGUUCGGUAAGUCAGAUGUAAAAACUCCAGGCUCAACUUGGAGAGGCCAUCUGAUACUGCCGUGACUAGAGUCCGGUAGAGGAGCACGGAAUUCCUGGUGUAGCGGUGAAAUGCGCAGAUAUCAGGAGGAACACCAGCGGCGAAGGCGGUGCUCUGGGCCGGAACUGACGCUGAGGAGCGAAAGCGUGGGGAGCGAACAGG